rnacentral:rRNA from 1 species
CCGGUUGAUCCUGCCAGAGGUUACUGCUAUCGGAGUUCGAUUAAGCCAUGCGAGUCUAAAGGCUUCUUCGGAAGCCUUGGCGGACUGCUCAGUAACACGUGGAUAACCUGCCCUUGGGACUGGGAUAACCCCGGGAAACUGGGGAUAAUACCAGAUAGAUCAGGGAUGCUGGAAUGCACCCUGAUCCAAAGCUCAGGCGUCCAAGGAUGGAUCUGCGACCUAUCAGGUUGUAGUGGGUGUAACGUACCUACUAGCCGACGACGGGUACGGGUUGUGAGAGCAAGAGCCCGGAGAUGGAUUCUGAGACACGAAUCCAGGCCCUACGGGGUGCAGCAGGCGCGAAACCUUUACAAUGUGCGAAAGCAUGAUAAGGGAACUCCGAGUGUUAGUAUCUAAUACUAACUGUCCUUGUGCCUAAAACGCACAAGAUAGCAAGGGCCGGGUAAGACCGGUGCCAGCCGCCGCGGUAACACCGGCGGCCCGAGUGGUAGCCGCUAUUAUUGGGUCUAAAGGGUCCGUAGCCGGUUCGGUAAGUCCUCUGGGAAAUCUGGUUGCUCAACAAUCAGACUGCCAAGGGAUACUGUCGAACUUGAGACCGGGAGAGGUAAGAGGUACUUCAGGGGUAGGAGUGAAAUCUUGUAAUCCCUGGGGGACCAUCUGUGGCGAAGGCGUCUUACCAGAACGGGUCUGACGGUGAGGGACGAAAGCUGGGGGCGCGAACCGGAUUAGAUACCCGGGUAGUCCCAGCCGUAAACGAUGCUCGCUAUGUGUCAGGUACGGUGCGACCGUAUCUGAUGCCGUAGGGAAGCCGUGAAGCGAGCCACCUGGGAAGUACGGCCGCAAGGCUGAAACUUAAAGGAAUUGGCGGGGGAGCACUACAACGGGUGGAGCCUGCGGUUUAAUUGGAUUCAACGCCGG